rnacentral:rRNA from 1 species
GCUUGAAAUAAUUUCUCAAUUUUCCAUAAACCAUGCGUCCGAUCACUGAAGUUAAGCAACGUUGGGCAUGGUCAGUACUUAGAUGGGUGACCGCUUGGGAACACCAUGUACUGUUGGCA